UACGUAGGGUGCGAGCGUUGUCCGGAAUUACUGGGCGUAAAGAGCUCGUAGGUGGUUUGUCGCGCUGUUCGUGAAAUCCCACGGCUUAACUGUGGGCGUGCGGGCGAUACGGGCAGACUGGAGUACUGCAGGGGAGACUGGAAUUCCUGGUGUAGCGGUGGAAUGCGCAGAUAUCAGGAGGAACACCCAUGGCGAAGGCAGCUCGCUGGCCUGUAACUGACGCUGUAGUGCGAAAGCGUGGGGAGCAAACAGG
rnacentral:rRNA from 1 species